UGUAAAUAGAGACACACUUUUUAUACAUAAUUGUUUUAUAUUUAUUUUUAUAAAUACUCUUGAAGAUGAAGUUUCCAAACCGAUUGAUUGAAUAUAAUUAAUUAAAACCAUUUUAAUAAAAAUAGUAGAACAAAGUACGAGUAUUUUGAAUAGCAUUAUACAGUCGAUUUUAUUUAAAUAUACGGAAAAAGUUCUAAAUUUCCAAAUGAACAAAAUUCGUUCAGUAUCAAAUAGAAUCGAUUUGUGAUUUGGAUAAUUUAUACGAAUAUCAUGACUGACGAUACAAGGAAAAGAUUCUUGAGUUAAUGCAUAAUAAUAUCUUGUGACACAAUUUUAACAGUUAGCCAUGUGAGCCACGUGAGAUGAUAUGUAAUCGACUGGAAUUAGCACUGGGGUCAUCACAAAAAAUACUAGAGCCCAUGACAUCUUUCAUGCAUACUGGCCCGAAAUUUUCAUUAUAACAAUAAGGGUUCAAUAAAGGAACUUCCUCCCGCGACCACUCCUGAGUGCAAGCAGGAAGCCUCAAGAAGGAAGAUCAUUCCACAACCUGUUGUGUAUCAUUACAGAAAUCUCAAGCAGGAGGAUCACUUCCUGCUUGAGACUUACCCUAGAGACUACAACUUGGGGUUCCACAAAAAGAACAUAUCUUGAGGCAACAAGUAUCGAGCCCGUAUUCGACUGUGAAGAUCAAAUAAAUUGACAAAUGUACCAAACAAGGUUUAUGUUACAUAACACAAACGGCCCAAAGCGACGCCAAUACAUCUAAGUUUGCACAACGUUUGUAACAAUAAUGGACUGUUUAAGUUACAAGAGACAGGUACAAGUACGAGUCAUGAAUAAAACAAAAUAUUUAUAGAAGACGGAAAUUAACGCGAUAAAGACAACUCAGUGAGGAUUCGGAAUCAAUGAAACACCUGAUAUGCAGCGGUAAUUCGUUGACAAGUAUACGUAUGAGUCUACUGGGAGCAGCUUAUCCAGAGGCAGGGGACUAUAGAGGUUGCGGAUGUACAUUUACCUCCACAUAACGUAAUUAUGCACGAUAAACCUUUGCGGACUCAUUUCAGACCGUAACGAUGCCAACACAAUGGAGUAAGGGUGAGUAAUAUAUGGCAAUAUCUAUAUAUUUUAAUCGCAAUAUAUAUAUAUAUACUGGUCCA